rnacentral:rRNA from 2 species
UACGUAGGGACCAAGCGUUGUUCGGAUUUACUGGGCGUAAAGGGCGCGUAGGCGGCAAUUCAAGUCAGCUGUGAAAUCUCUGGGCUUAACCCAGAACGGCCAGCUGAUACUGCUUUGCUAGAGUGCAGAAGGGGCAAUCGGAAUUCUCGGUGUAGCGGUGAAAUGCGUAGAUAUCGAGAGGAACACCUGAGGUGAAGACGGGUUGCUGGGCUGACACUGACGCUGAGGCGCGAAAGCCAGGGGAGCAAACGGG